UUGAAGCUUUUAACUCUCAUAUUACGCAAUAUCAAAACAAUAUUAAAUUGCAUAUAUAUUUAUAAGAUAAUGAACAACAACUUUCCAGUGACAGCAUCAUCAAAACAUUAACAGUUUUUUAGUUAUAAAGCAAAGAAUUUCCAGGCGCAUAGAUCCUUUAAUGUAUGAUCUCAAAUUACAGCCCUUAAAUUAUGCACAACAUGUGUUCUUAUUUACAAAAUAUAUCACAUUAAACAGUUAUGAUGCUAAAUAUUUUUUUUAAAACAUAGAUUUCGAUUUAAUAAUUCGAGUGGUAUAAUUGGCAAACAUAGAAAAUACAAAUAUCAGAGGAAAACGUUCAAUGCGUCAAUAUUAUUUUUUUUUACUUUGAAUCAUAUGCUACGGACCAUUUCGGAGCCUUUAUUUGGAAACGGUUUGUUCCCGUUUUGCACACAUUUGAAAAUUAGGUAUCGAAAAAAUGUGUGCGAAACGGGAAUUUGACCAGGUGAGAUAAUUGCUUAAUUGUUCAUACGUAGAACAUGUCUUUACGUAUUAAAAACAAAAUUGAGAGACAAAAACUCCACAUUUAGGUUUAUUGCUAUGAAGCAGUCUCAUAUUUUAUGAUUUAAUUACAAGUACAUGUAUAUUACAUAUGCAUCAUUUCAUUUUGAUAUUUUCAUGAUUUUUUGAAUGCAUAUAUAUUGGUUUCUAUAAUUAUUUUAUUGAUCUUAAAAUACAUUAGUGUGCAUUCAUUCAUGACAACUUAAUUUGUAGAAAGGUCCAGAGUUGCCUUUAGGGCAGUGAUUAUAUUUUGGUCAAAGUUAAGUUGUGUCUUUUAAUCUCAUUGGUGUUUUAGUUUGUUUCUUGUUUGUCUAUUGGUUGGUCGAUUUCCCUCCAAAAGUUCUUUGGGUUUUAGUUUAAUCUCUGUCAAGAGUUUGAAGAGAGCGGACUGUAAUAAAGGUGUACAGACGUUUUUGACAAAUUACAUCUCUUCUUGAAUGCACAUAUACCUUGUAAUUGAGUCGCAUUGAACUUGGCUCAACUUGUACAUGGGGCCUAUUCCCAUAGAAUGGGUCAAAUCAAAUCUAUUUAUAUAAAUGGUGAUAAUAAAAGCCCGUUAAUCGAACCCUAACAGGAGUGUUGAUUUCUUCUUUACAUCAACGGAUAAACCUGUUACAUAGAGAAGGACGUAACGAUAGUCACUGCAAGCUAAACAGUUAUUCUGGAUCAUUGGCGUUCAGAGCCAUGUUGGAUGCUGAAGAGAAUAUGACAUUUUGGAGGCAUUUGAUGCUUGUGAACAGUCUGCUGGAAAUGGAGUCAGUUUGUCAACAUUAAAAACCGAAUACUCUAUAAAAGUUUGAGAAUGGUGGUCCUUCAUGCUAUACAGAAGAUAAUGAACCAAUAAUUAUUAGGGCACCCGUCAAGGCACUGGUCGUGUCACUAUCAAUCAAAGGAACUUGUUAUUUGAAUUGGCAUGUUAAUUGAUCAAUUGUACAGUAAAACAGUACUGAAUAUCCAUGGACUUUGGAUAUCAAAUGAGAUACACUUUGAAAAUAUGUAAUAGUAUACCAAGUUCGUGGUACUUCAAAGACAUUAUAUUUGUUCAAGCCAUAUAGUUUGUGAAAACAGCCAAGGGACAAUGUAAUUUGGUCUACAAUUUCACGACAAAUGCAUUACUAAACUAGACUUGAUAUGUUGCUUUUAAACAAUGUUGGUAAAUUUUUUUAAAUAGAGUACAAUGGAAAACUUAGCUGUCU